rnacentral:rRNA from 1 species
UAAAAAGCUCGUAGUUGGAUUUCGGGGCGGCCCGGCUGGUCCGCCGCGAGGCGAGCACUGGUCGGGCGCCCUUCCUCUCGAAGGCUUCGACUGCUCUUCGUUGCGGUGGUCGAGGAGUUCGGGACGUUUACUUUGAAAAAAUUAGAGUGUUCAAGGCAGGCCUCCGCCUGAAUACGUUAGCAUGGAAUAAUGGAAGAGGACCUCGGUCCUAUUUUGUUGGUUUCCAGGGCCGAAGUAAUGAUUGAGAGGGACAGUUGGGGGCAUUCGUAUUCAAUUGUCAGAGGUGAAAUUCUCGGAUUUAUGGAAGACGAGCGAGUGCGAAAGCAUUUGCCAAGGAUGUUUUCAUUAAUCAAGAACGAAAGUUGGGGGUUCGAAGACGAUCAGAUACCGUCGUAGUCCCAACCAUAAACUAUGCCGACCAGGGAUCGGCGGAUGUUAGCAUCUGACUCGUCGGCACCUUACGAGAAAUCAGAGCGUUUGGGUUC